AAAACGACUCUCGGCAACGGAUAUCUCGGCUCUCGCAUCGAUGAAGAACGUAGCGAAAUGCGAUACCUGGUGUGAAUUGCAGAAUCCCGCGAACCAUCGAGUCUUUGAACGCAAGUUGCGCCCGAGGCCAUUCGGCGGAGGGCACGCCUGCCUGGGCGUCACGC
rnacentral:rRNA from 1 species